rnacentral:rRNA from 1 species
UACGAAGGGUGCAAGCGUUACUCGGAAUUACUGGGCGUAAAGCGUGCGUAGGUGGUUUGUUAAGUCUGUUGUGAAAGCCCCGGGCUCAACCUGGGAAUGGCAAUGGAUACUGGCAGGCUAGAGUGCGGUAGAGGGUAGUGGAAUUCCUGGUGUAGCGGUGAAAUGCGUAGACAUCAGGAGGAACACCUGUGGCGAAAGCGGCUCACUGGACCAUAACUGACGCUGAUGCACGAAAGCUAGGGGAGCAAACAGG